rnacentral:rRNA from 1 species
GUAGCCGGUUGUAUAAGUCUGCUUUUAAAGACCGAAGCUCAACUUCGGAAGGGGGGCAGAUACUGUGCAGCUAGAGGUGAUUGGAGGUUAGUGGAAUUUCCGGUGGAGGGGUGGAAUCUGUUGAUAUCGGAAGGAAUGCCAAAAGCGAAAGCAGCUAACUAUGAUUUUUCUGACGGUAAAGGACGGAAGUGUGGGUAGCAAACAGGAUUAGAUACCCUGGUAGUCCACACUGUAAAUUAUGUUCGCUAGGUGUUGGUUUCUUUUGAAAUUAGUGCCGUAACCUAACGGGUUAAGCGAACCGCCUGGGUAGUAUAGUCGCAAGGCCGAAACUCAAAGGGAUAGGCGGGGAAACACACAAGCGGUGGAUUGCCUUAAUUAAUUUGAUAAUAAGCAAAGAAUCUUACCUGGGCUUGACAUCCUUGGAAUCUUUUGGAAACAAGAGAGUGCUCUGCUUGCAGAGAACCAAGUGACAGGUGUUGCAUGGCCGUCGUCAGCUCGUGCUGCAAAGUGUCCGGUUAAGUCCGGAAACGAGCGCAACCCUUAUUCUUAGUUAGAAUGUCUAAGAAGACUGCCUGGGCAACCAGGAGGAAGGAGAGGAUGAUGUCAGGUCAUUAUGGCCCUUACGUCCGGGGCGUUAGAGGCAAUACAAUGGGUAGUACAAUGGGAAGCGAAGUUGUGAAAUGGAGCAAAUCCUUUAAAGCUAUCCUAAGUGCAGAGUGUAGUCUGGAACUCGACUACAUGAAGUUGGAAUCGCUAGUAAUGGCAAAUCA